rnacentral:lncRNA from 1 species
AUAGUAAGCUGUUGGGCUACUUGGUUUGACAUAUCUUGCAAAAGGGGAGCGCAGAAGCGGCGCGGAAAAGGAGCCGU